rnacentral:rRNA from 1 species
GAUCAUGGCUCAGGAUGAACGCUAGCUACAGGCUUAACACAUGCAAGUCGAGGGGCAGCAUGGUCUUAGCUUGCUAAGGCCGAUGGCGACCGGCGCACGGGCGAGUAACACGUAUCCAACCUGCCGUCUACUCUUGGACAGCCUUCUGAAAAGGAAGAUUAAUACAAGAUGGCAUCAUGAGUCCGCAUGUUCACAUGAUUAAAAGGUAUUCCGGGUAGACGAUGGGGA